UAUGUGAUCGUCUCUCGCAUAUCAAUAAGCGGAGGAAAAGAAACUAACAAGGAUUCCCCUAGUAACGGCGAGUGAAGCGGGAAGAGCUCAAAUUUGAAAUCUUAAAGGGUUUCCCUUUACGAAUUGUAGUUUAAAGAAGUGUUUUCUGUUGAGGUUUUGGUAAAAGUUCUUUGGAAUAGGACAUCAUAGAGGGUGAGAAUCCCGUAUUUGACCUUUACUUUCAACUUUGUGAUACACUUCCAAAGAGUCGGAUUGUUUGGGAAUGCAGUCCAAAAUGGGUGGUAAAUUUCAUCUAAAGCUAAAUAUUGGCGAGAGACCGAUAGCGAACAAGUACCGUGAGGAGAAAGAUGAAAAGAACUUUGAAAAGAGAGUUAAACAGUACGUGAAAUUGUCAAAAGGGAAGCGUUUGACACCAGUGUUGUUUUUCUGAAAAUCAAUUAAAGAACUGUUUAUGCUAAGUUGUUUAGACUUUAUCAGCUAACUGUUUAGUUUUGAGCUUUUCUUUAAUGCACUUUUCAGUUAACAAGUCAACAUCAAUUUCUUUUGCUGUAAAAAAGCUUGAGGAAGGUGGCUUGAGAUUCGUCUUAAGUGUUUAUAGCCUCUUGCCUAUGCAGUCGGAGAGAUUGAGGUCUGCAGCGUAGAUCCUUCGGGGCUAAAUGCAUUUGUGCUAAGUUAUAGCAUUUUAUAGACAACUUGUUGACUAUGAUUUGUCUUGUAGCUUACUCGCUUAUGUUAUUUUACCUACGCUUAGGAUGUUGAUCUACAGAGCGAGAGU
rnacentral:rRNA from 1 species